rnacentral:rRNA from 1 species
GACGAACGCUGGCGGCGUGCCUAAUACAUGCAAGUUGAGCGCUGAAGGUUGGUACUUGUACCGACUGGCUGAGCAGCGAACGGGUGAGUAACGCGUGGGGAAUCUGCCUUUGAGCGGGGGACAACAUUUGGAAACGAAUGCUAAUACCGCAUAAAAACUUUAAACACAAGUUUUAAGUUUGAAAGAUGCAAUUGCAUCACUCAAAGAUGAUCCCGCGUUGUAUUAGCUAGUUGGUGAGGUAAAGGCUCACCAAGGCGAUGAUACAUAGCCGACCUGAGAGGGUGAUCGGCCACAUUGGGACUGAGACACGGCCCAAACUCCUACGGGAGGCAGCAGUAGGGAAUCUUCGGCAAUAGACGAAAGGCUGACCGAGCAACGCCGCGGGAGUGAAGAAGGUUCUCGGAUCGUAAAACUCUGUUGGUAGAGAAGAACGUUGGUGAGAGUGGAAAGCUCAUCAAGUGACGGUAACUACCCAGAAAGGGACGGCUAACUACGUG